AGUCUAUGAUGAAUAAUAUAUUUGCUACUCUUGACUGCAUGGAUGACGAGUAACCACCAAGAUCUCUGAGACU